CAGUAGCCGCGGGAAUACGUAGGUGGCAAGCGUUGUCCGGAAUUAUUGGGCGUAAAGGGCUCGCAGGCGGUUUCUUAAGUCUGAUGUGAAAGCCCCCGGCUCAACCGGGGAGGGACAUUGGAAACUGGGAAACUUGAGUGCAGAAGAGGAGAGUGGAAUUCCACGUGUAGCGGUGAAAUGCGUAGAGAUGUGGAGGAACACCAGUGGCGAGGGCGACUCCCUGGUCUGUAACUGACGCUGAGGAGCGAAAGCGUGGGGAGCGAACAGGAUUAGAUACCCGUGUAGUCCCUGUCUCUUAUAC
rnacentral:rRNA from 1 species